rnacentral:tRNA from 1 species
AAAGUCUUAAGUUAAAAGAAUAAACUAGUAGCCUUCAAAGUUAAAAUUAAGAAUUUAGACUUUGCCUAAAUUUUU